AUUGAACGCUGGCGGCAGGCCUAACACAUGCAAGUCGAGCGGAUGAAGGGAGCUUGCUCCUGGAUUCAGCGGCGGACGGGUGUGUAAUGCCUAGGAAUCUGCCUGGUAGUGGGGGAUGACGUCCGGAAACGGGCGCUAAUACCGCAUACGUCCUGAGGGAGAAAGUGGGGGAUCUUCGGAACUCACGCUAUCAGAUGAGCCUAGGUCGGAUUAGCUAGUUGGUGGGUUAAAGGCCUACCUAGGCGACGAUCCGUAACUGGUCUGAGAGGAUGAUCAGUCACACGGGAGCUGAGACACGGUCCAGACGCCUACGGGAGGCAGCAGUGGGGAAUAUGGGACAAUGGGCGAAAGCCUUAUCCAGCCAUGCCGCGUGUGUGAAGAAGGUCUUCGGAUUGUAAAGCACUUUAAGUUGGGGGGAAGGGCAGUAAGUUAAUACCUUGCUGUAUUGACGUUACCAACAGAAUAAGCACCGGCUAACUUCGUG
rnacentral:rRNA from 1 species